GACGAACGCUGGCGGCGUGCCUAACACAUGCAAGUCGAACGGAAAGGCUCUAGCUUGCUGGAGUGCUCGAGUGGCGAACGGGGGCGUAACACGUGUGCAACCUGCCCUGCACUCUGGGAUAAGCCAGGGUAACUGGGUCUAAUACCGGAUAGGACCUUUCUCCUCGUGGGGUUUGGGGGAACGUUGUUCGGUGCAGGAUGGUCUCGCGGGCUAUCAGCUUGUUGGGGGGGUAAUGGCCUACCAAGGCGAGGCGGGGUAGCCGACCUGGGAGGGGGGUCGGCCACAUUGGGACUGAGAUACGGCCCAGACUCCAACGGGAGGCAGCGGUGGGGAAUAUUGCACAGUGGGCGAAAGCCUGAUGCGGCGACGCCGCGUGAGGGAUGACGGCCUUCGGGUUGUAAACCUCUUUCAGUAGGGACGAAGCGCAAGUGACGGUACCUGCAGAAGAAGCACCGGCUAACUACGUG
rnacentral:rRNA from 1 species